GUGGCGGUUCAGGUUUCCAGGGGGAACCCAGCUCACCGGUGAGCCUGCCUCCCGCUUGCGCUUACUGUCUCUCGCCAUCUCCCCUUGAUCACACCCGGUAACUCCCUGACGUCUACCUGUCUACAAUCUAGCCCACAGAAAAAAAAUCUGCCAACUUCCUCCAUAAUGGACCUGAAGAACAUAAGAUUAAAAAGGACAGUGGUAGAGUUCUUAUGCCUCAACUAUAAAAUUUGGCAAAAUCAUUGCUUUCUUAACAACAACAACAAACUAGGUCCCAGUCAAGAACAUAGAAAGAUGGAAGGAAGACAUAUUUUCCUCUCAGCAAAAACAAGAGUGAAGAAUGAUUUUUCUUCACCUCAAAAUCAUCAACCACAGAAGUACAAGAUUCUGCAUUGGCCUCCAUUGGACAUUCUAUGGAGUUUAGAAGAUGACAAUAACGCUGUUGGUGUAACAAGGGAGAAUGUAAAAAGAAAUUGUAUAACCCUCUGGUUCAAAAUUAUUUUAACAAGUGAAUGAUUAGUGAUGUAAUGUUAAGGAUUACAACAAAAAGAAUGUUGAAGAAUGUCAGGCUGCAGGGCUCUUUCCCAAAGAGGAGGCCAUCAUAAGCAUGCUCCUGAGAUGAGGCACUGACCAUUUAAAGGGAGCUGUGGUAGACAAUUCUAUCACUCUCCAGCAAUAGGGAAGAGGAGCUUAAUGGAAAAAUGUAUCACUUUGUAAAGGCAAUGGAUGGAAAGGUUCUUGUCAGGGAAAAAAGUACUUUGUACAUUUUACAAAUACUAAUGAACCAGAAGAGUUAAGGGUAUCAAAGGAAGUGAAUGUCUUUGAUAACCUCUACUCUAGUAUAUGCCCAGAUUAGGGAAAUCAAUUCAUAGGGAUCAGCAAUAAAACUAGACCUAUCUUUAAAUGAUGCUUUAAAAUUUGGGAAGAAAAGCUGGUUUAUAAAUUUUGUGAUAAAGAGUGAAAUCACAUUUAUACCCUUUUAAAAACCAUGAGAAGUCUCAGAAGAUUAGCAGCAAGCACAACAGCAACAAUAUGUAUUGGAAGGAGGGGCAGGAGAAG